UCUGUUUUUAAAUGUCUGCCGUUGCUAUUCCGGUCGUGUGAGUCGCUCGUUUUCCAAGGACCGAACUAUUUUUUCCUCUGGUGGAGGCACAGCGAGCAGCCAGUGCACCCCAGCCGGGAUCAGCUGGGCGGCCAGCGGCCCCUCCCGCUGCCAGCGCAGCCCGGGGACCUGGGGCCGCCCCGCAGACAGCUGGGGCCCGCGGGCCACGCGCGGCGUUCUCCCGGGCGGUUCUACAGCCCUCUGUGUUUGGGUUGUAUCGCACAACCCAAGUGCACUGGGCCCCACGCGGGAAAAGCAGACAGCACAAGGCAAGUCCCUGCAGGCUCAGGGAGACCUCCGCCCACGGGGUGGAGAGGCCCUGGAGGUCAGUUCAGGCCGGAGAGAGAGUCUCGCGUGAAAGGCAGAACCUCAAAUCCAGGCGUCCUACAACCGGGUCCCACGAACACCCUGAGAAGCACCAGCCAGAAGUCAGGGGCUCCGUGACCCCCUCUGUGAGAAUGUUAACCUUCACGGGAACAAAAAUCUCGAAAGUUUAUUAAAACAUGUUCCACCUCACAUAGAAGAGACUUUCAUACCUGUUUCUAGAGAUUUCAGCACUACAUAGUGUUCGUCUUUCAAACAAACGGAGGAGAAACUCGUAUUCACGGACAUCACGGCGUUCUGCGCCUGUGAAACGCGCGCCGUGCUUGCAGCGGAGACGAGACGUGGAAGAAGCGUGUCAUCGCACCUCCGGGGCCAGCGCCACUGAGUCACUGUUCCGUGUGUGGGUUCAGGAGAACAACGUGGCAGUUCACAGUAAACUUGGCAGGGUCUCCAUAUUGAAAUCUGGACCGGAAGCCUGCGGUUCCAGACUUACAGCUGCACAGCCUGAUGAGCCCAGCUACAACGCUGCCCUCGUAGUCCAAGGUCACCCAAGAAGGCCUGCCGGGCAAGGGCCACACUUCGCCGUGCGCCUGUUGGAGCGUCCCACAGCCGCACAGCGUUAGAAAUGCGACCGCUGCUGGACUUCUGCAGGACCGGGCCGCGGCCGGGAGCCCCACCCCAGAGCCCUCCACGCGUUGGGCAUUUUCUGGGGUCGUCCUGCGCCCCGAGGUCGUCUGCACUUCAGGAUACCCAUCUGGACGUCUUAAGGAGCUACUACCGUGUCACCCAAUCAACCGAAAAGUCGGGGAGCCCACAGCCUGCUGGGUGAACACGGGGACCCUCAGCCCGAAGGCAUGACCCCAGGAUGGAGAAGGCGGUGGUCGGCAGAGGGACCAUGGAAAUCUGACCACCCGGAAACAGUAACUAGACAAACUUUAAGUGACGUCUGAAGCUGGCUGGCCCUAGAGCCUAGUUGGACCCCUUCAUUUCACGGAGGGUAACACUGAGGCCCAGAGAGAAUCAACUGGCUUGGCUCGGGGUCCCCGAGCGCCACAGCCGAGCAUGGCAGCUGUUUCUGUUGCUCCCACGAAACAGCGCAGAAUGAAGUCUCUCCGAGCCUGCUCGAACAACAGUGGGGAGUGAGGAGGGCAAGCGCACGGCCCCCCUGCUGCGGGCGCAAGGGCUGGGCAGGCGCCAGCAGACCGCACUUGCCCUGAGGAGGCCUGGCUGUGAGGUCAGCGCACUGGCAGCCCGCGGCUGAGAUCUGGCCCUCACAGCUGUUUUGAUUGGCCCGAGACGUCUUACAGUUUUUUGAAUCACUUGCCAACAUUUCAGCAUUAGGAAACGGCAAUAAAGAUACAGGUUCCAACUUCUGAAAAAUUGUAUCUGGCCCCGUGGGCUUGUUUUCCUGCCUGGCAACAGCCCGCUGCCACCCCACAGCUGUGCCCCUUCCCAUGCGGCAUCAGACCCCUGGGUGCUCCCCAGCCUCGCCCUCCCCGGGGAGGCUCACAGCUCGAU